rnacentral:rRNA from 1 species
GUCUAUGAUCAUGCCACCCUGAACAAGCCCAAUCCUAUCUGAAUCUCAGGAGCUAAGCAAGUCAGGCCUGGUUAGUACUUGGAUGGGAGAGCACAUGGAAGACCAGGUGCUGUAGGCG